rnacentral:rRNA from 1 species
UACGAAGGGGGCUAGCGUUGCUCGGAAUCACUGAGCGUAAAGCGCACGUAGGCGGAUUGUUAAGUCAGGGGUGAAAUCCUGGAGCUCAACUCCAGAACUGCCUUUGAUACUGGCGAUCUUGAGUCCGGGAGAGGUGAGUGGAACUGCGAGUGUAGAGGUGAAAUUCGUAGAUAUUCGCAAGAACACCAGUGGCGAAGGCGGCUCACUGGCCCGGUACUGACGCUGAGGUGCGAAAGCGUGGGGAGCAAACAGG